AACGCACCUUGCGCUCUCUGGUAUUCCGGGGAGCACACCUGUUCGAGUGUCAUUAAGACUCUCAAAUAAAGGUGGCUUUGCAGCCAUCUCUGUUUGGAUUUGGGCUUUGCUGCAUUAAUGUGGCUAGUCUUAAAUGUAUUAGCUGGUCCUCAUUGGGGGGUUUUGGUUCUACUCAGCGUGAUAAUUAUCUAACGUUGAGGACAGUCUCAGAACUGGCCAUAGCUCUCUCUCUGGAUUGCUUCUAAAUUGUCUUGAGGACAGUUGCUUAAUUUCUGACCUCGAAUCAGGUGGGACUACCCGCUGAACUUAA
rnacentral:misc_RNA from 2 species